rnacentral:rRNA from 1 species
UACGGGGGGGGCAAGCGUUGUUCGGAAUUACUGGGCGUAAAGGGCUCGUAGGCGGCCAACUAAGUCAGACGUGAAAUCCCUCGGCUUAACCGGGGAACUGCGUCUGAUACUGGAUGGCUUGAGUUUGGGAGAGGGAUGCGGAAUCCCAGGUGUAGCGGUGAAAUGCGUAGAUAUCUGGAGGAACACCGGUGGCGAAGGCGGCAUCCUGGACCGGUAUUGACGCUGAGGCGCGAAAGCUAGGGGAGCAAACGGG